GAUCCUGGCUCAGGAUGAACGCUGGCGGCGUGCUUAACACAUGCAAGUCGAACGGAGUUAAGAAGGAAGCUUGCUUCAUUUAAACUUAGUGGCGGACGGGCGAGUAACGCGUGAGGAACCUGCCCUUCAGUGGGGAACAACAACUAGAAAUGGUUGCUAAUACCGCAUAAUGUCGGAGUACCGCAUGACAUUCCGACCAAAGGAUUUAUUCGCUGAAGGAUGGCCUCGCGUCCGAUUAGAUAGUUGGUGAGGUAACGGCCCACCAAGUCUACGAUCGGUAGCCGAACUGAGAGGUUGAUCGGCCACAUUGGGACUGAGACACGGCCCAGACUCCUACGGGAGGCAGCAGUGGGGAAUAUUGGGCAAUGGGCGAAAGCCCUGACCCAGCAACGCCGCGUGAAGGAUGACGGUCUUCGGAUUGUAAACUUCUUUAAUUGGGGAAGAACAAAAUGACCUACCCAAAGAAUAAGUCACGGCUAACUACGUGCCAGCCGCUGC
rnacentral:rRNA from 1 species